rnacentral:rRNA from 1 species
AGAGUUUGAUCCUGGCUCAGGAUGAACGCUGGCGGCGUGCCUAAUACAUGCAAGUCGAACGGAGAGGGUGUAGUAAUACAGCCUUUUAGUGGCGAACGGGUGAGUAACGCGUUGGUGACCUGCCCCGAAGACUGGGAUAACAGAUCGAAAGGUCUGCUAAUACCGGAUGAGUUGCCGAGAGUUAGAGAGCUUGGCAAGAAAGCAGCGAUGCGCUUUGGGAGGGGCCUGCGUCCCAUCAGCUAGUUGGUAAGGUAAAGGCUUACCAAGGCGAAGACGGGUAGGGGACCUGAGAGGGUGGCCCCCCACACUGGCACUGAAACACGGGCCAGACACCUACGGGUGGCAGCAGUAGGGAAUAUUGCACAAUGGGCGAAAGCCUGAUGCAGCAACGCCGCGUGCGCGAUGAAGGCCUUCGGGUCGUAAAGCGCUUUUCGGGGAGAUGAGGAAGGACAGUAUCCCCAGAAUAAGGAUCGGCUAACUACGUGCCAGCAGCCGCGGUAAAACGUAGGAUCCGAGCGUUAUCCGAAUUCACUGGGCGUAAAGCGCGUGCAGGCGGUUGCGUAAGUUGGAUGUGAAAUCUCCUGGCUCAACUGGGAGAGGCCGUUCAAUACUGCGUGACUAGAGGACGGUAGAGGGAGGUGGAAUUCCGGGUGUAGUGGUGAAAUGCGUAGAUAUCCGGAGGAACACCAGAGGCGAAGGCGGCCUCCUGGGCCGUACCUGACGCUUAGAUGCGAAAGCCAGGGGAGCGAACGGGAUUAGAAACCCCGGUAGUCCUGGCUGUAAACGAUGUAGACUUGGUGUAGGCGGGGUAAAAUCCUGCCUGUGCCGGAGCCAACGCGAUAAGUCUACCGCCUGGGGACUACGGCCGCAAGGUUAAAACUCAAAGGAAUUGACGG